GAGCAAAGCAUACACACCUGUGCAGAGUACCACACCUGUAAUCUUUCCCCAUAUUGAGCAUACCUGUGGCUUACAGUCAGGAAAAGCAGCAUCGGUGUGAUGAAUGUUAUGAAGGACAGCAGAGCUAUAGAGUGACUAUCACAUCUGACCAAAGGUUGCGUGAUGCUUGGAGAAUGCAGGAAAUUAUGGCUUGCCAAGAAGCAAGGAAGUGGAAGUUCAACAUUUGGCAAGAAGCUUCUUGAGGAAUUUGCAGAGCAGGCACAGCUUGCAAGUGGAAAAUCCGGAAACGCACACUGAAUUCUCAGCUAGAAAAAGCUCCCUCUGCAAUCAGCUGUUAGGAUAUCUGAAGAAAAACUGAAUAAAUUAAUAAGCCCUUGGUGUCCAUAGACUCAGACAAAAAGCCUCCUCUACCACUGAUGCAGCUGUUCUGGGAGGAAGUUUCACUGGAUACCCCCAAGAAAGCAAGUGUCACAUCAACCAACCACAUCAAGCAACCAGACAUGGAACAAGUUUUAAGGUCUCCCUCACUGAGCCUGUAAAUCUUAUUAUCUUCAGUAAGAAUAACAGUGCAUGCAGAGAACUCAUCACAAGCACAGCUAGGCAAACAGACAUAAAAUUGCUGGUUGUACGUCUGUGCAACAUGUUGUAGUGCUUGCGUCCACAUUGUUUGAAAUAAUGCAGAAAGAAGAGCAGGGGGAAAAAGAAAGAAUAAAAGAAAAAUAAAGAAUCCA
rnacentral:lncRNA from 1 species